GACGAACGCUGGCGGCGUGCUUAACACAUGCAAGUCGAACGGAAAGGCCCUGCUUUUGUGGGGUGCUCGAGUGGCGAACGGGUGAGUAACACGUGAGUAACCUGCCCUUGACUUUGGGAUAACUUCAGGAAACUGGGGCUAAUACCGGAUAGGAGCUCCUGCUGCAUGGUGGGGGUUGGAAAGUUUCGGCGGUUGGGGAUGUACUCGCGGCUUACCAGCUUGUUGGUGGGGUAGUGGCUUACCAAGGCUUUGACGGGUAGCCGGCCUGAGAGGGUGACCGGCCACAUUGGGACUGAGAUACGGCCCAGACUCCUACGGGAGGCAGCAGUGGGGAAUAUUGCACAAUGGGCGGAAGCCUGAUGCAGCAACGCCGCGUGCGGGAUGACGGCCUUCGGGUUGUAAACCGCUUUCGCCUGUGACGAAGCGUGAGUGACGGUAAUGGGUAAAGAAGCACCGGCUAACUACGUG
rnacentral:rRNA from 1 species